rnacentral:rRNA from 1 species
GUGUUGAUGACGCUGAGGGUCCACCUGUUCCCAUACCGAACACAGAAGUUAAGCUCAGUGGUGCCGAAAAUACUUGGCCGGCGACGGCCCGGGAAAAUAGGGAGAUGCC